UAGGGAAUCUUCCGCAAUGGACGAAAGUCUGACGGAGCAACGCCGCGUGAGUGAAGAAGGUUUUCGGAUCGUAAAACUCUGUUGUUAGGGAAGAACAAGUCAGGUAGUAACUGACCUGACCUUGACGGUACCUAACCAGAAAGCCACGGCUAACUACGUGCCAGCAGCCGCGGUAAUACGUAGGUGGCAAGCGUUGUCCGGAUUUAUUGGGCGUAAAGCGCUCGCAGGCGGUCUUUUAAGUCUGAUGUGAAAGCCCACGGCUUAACCGUGGAGGGUCAUUGGAAACUGGAGGACUUGAGUGCAGAAGAGGAGAGUGGAAUUCCAUGUGUAGCGGUGAAAUGCGUAGAGAUAUGGAGGAACACCAGUGGCGAAGGCGACUCUCUGGUCUGUAACUGACGCUGAGGAGCGAAAGCGUGGGUAGCGAACAGGAUUAGAUACCCUGGUAGUCCACGCCGUAAACGAUGAGUGCUAGGUGUUAGGGGGUUUCCGCCCCUUAGUGCUGAAGUUAACGCAUUAAGCACUCCGCCUGGGGAGUACGGCCGCAAGGCUG
rnacentral:rRNA from 2 species